GACUCUCACAGCAGCAGUUAGACGCCUGUCUGACCUCCACAAACAAGACAUUCUCCUUCCCCCUGGAAACUGCAAUUCCUGCUCUGCUUCUGAGCCCAGACUGUUAGAGGCCUCUCUUCGUGUCAAGAGACCGAGCACCUGCAGCUGCGUACCUGAUGACCUCCGUGUGUCUCUGUCAGCGAGUGUCUCCGGGUGGCCUGCCAAGGACUGAAACCCAUCAGCUCUCUGAAACAGCACCUAGCACAG